AGAGUUUGAUCCUGGCUCAGGACGAACGCUGACGGUGUGCUUUAGGCAUGCAAGUCGAACGAGAAAGCCCUUCGGGGUGAGUAGAGUGGCGAACGGGUGAGUAACACGUGGGCAACCUGCCCCUCGCAGGGGGAUAACCGGAGGAAACUCCGGCUAAUACCCCGUAAGCUUUCAGGGUCGCAUGGCCCUGUAAGGAAAGGUAGCUUCGGCCAUCCGGCGAGGGAUGGGCCCGCGGUGCAUUAGCUAGUUGGUGGGGUAACGGCCCACCAAGGCGACGAUGCGUAGCUGGUCUGAGAGGAUGAUCAGCCACACUGGGACUGAGACACGGCCCAGACUCCUACGGGAGGCAGCAGCCAGGAAUCUUGGGCAAUGGGCGCAAGCCUGACCCAGCAACACCGUGUGGGCGAUGAAGGCCUUCGGGUCGUAAAGCCCUGUUGAUAGGGACGAAGGGCGAAGGGUUAAUAGCCCCUAGCCUGACGGUACCUUUCGAGGAAGCCCCGGCUAACUACGUGCCAGCAGCCGCGGUAAUACGUAGGGGGCGAGCGUUGUCCGGAAUUAUUGGGCGUAAAGAGCGUGUAGGCGGUUCGGUAAGUCUGCCGUGAAAACCUGAGGCUCAACCUCGGGCGUGCGGUGGAUACUGCCGGGCUAGAGGACGGUAGAGGCGAGUGGAAUUCCCGGUGUAGCGGUGAAAUGCGCAGAUAUCGGGAGGAACACCAGUAGCGAAGGCGGCUCGCUGGGCCGUUCCUGACGCUGAGACGCGAAAGCUAGGGGAGCGAACAGGAUUAGAUACCCCGGUAGUCC
rnacentral:rRNA from 1 species